rnacentral:lncRNA from 1 species
AUACAAAGAAAGAAAAAUACAUUUUAUUAUCCAUAGUUGGUGCAGUGGUUAGCGCUUGUGCUUCAAGGCAAGAAGGUCCUGGGUUAAAUCCCCUGGUGGGGCCUCUCUGUGGAGUCCACUAAAAACAUGUCCAAUAGGCCAGGCUGAAAGAGUGUAUUUCAGAAUACGAGUUUGGGACAAUGCUGGAAAUUAGCCCAAAGCUGGUGUGGUGGUUUACAUGCAUGAGUCCCAUGUAUGUUCACUAACAUGCCCUGUCCCAACAAAAACUAACAAAAAACAAUUAACACAUUGAUUGAACAAACAAUGAUCUUAUUAUGUUUGACAUUGAGUAAGAUGGAGAGCAGCGAAACGAAACAUGAGCACAGAAAUGUAAUAAGCUUGAGUGAUUGAUUUUUUGAAAACUGAAAGGUUUCAUUGACAAAGCUACUGUUCAUCAGGGCUUGGAGUUACUUCAGUAAGGUUUAGCAUGCUUUUCUCCUGAUUAAUGCGCAUUGAGUUGCCUUGUGUACGAAAUGCGCUGUAUAAAUGAAGUUGCCUUGCCUUGCCAGUAAUCAAAUUUGUGAUGUCUUUGACCAAUUUUAAGUGCGGACUGACACACAUUUUCUUGCCAUUCUGCAUUAUGAAGCUGAAAAAUAUAAAUGAUACAGUUAUAACAUAAAGUGUUUUUUUUUGUCAAGAAUGCAAAACUUGCUGAACUUGAACAUGAUGGCCUUUACUGCACAAUACGGGCUAGUCAGUAUGUAGCCCUUCACUUUGUUUUUAGGCAAGCUAAUUUGAUUAAAGUGACUGCAACAUAUGUUUGUUUCCAAGGGAUCUAUAAAAAAUAAAUAAAUAACAACAUUUUAGUCAGUGAUUUUAUAAAAUUCCAUUUGCUAAUGUGGCAGGGAUAGGUCUGGUCAUGUGAUCACAUCACAUGACAGGCUAUAAAGGAAGGAGCUACACAUGCCCACUUCCUCUUCCUGAGCAGGCCUGUGCACAUGUUACUUCCUGGUGAGCUAAAGAAAUGUUUAGGUUUUAAGACUUUUAUUUAUAUUGUAAAGAAAACACUGAUGUACAUUUUAUAUUCCUUAAGGGUCCUAACAGUCCAGUUUAAAGGCGCAGUGCUGGUUGCCGUUUAUGUUUGAGUUAGUUUACUGUGUUUUGUUAACUUAAACAAUAUCCGUCUAGUUGGUGGUUGUCCAAGCUACCGGCAGCUGGGGAUGAGAGGGGUUCACUUUAGGUGGUUUUAUUUGUAGUUUUGGUGGUGGUGGCACAUGUAUAUAUGGGUGAUUUCUGUUAUGGAAAUGGUGUUUGUUUGUUUUUCACUAAUAGUAUACCUCUCUCACCCCAGCUCGAGGUCACGCCACCCCAGUUAAAAUCAAACUUUUAGAAUGUUUUGCGGUUAAUUGUAAAUAAACUCUGCCUUAGGGCUGUUGGAUCCACACUGACUGUUUGGCUUUAUUAUGGAAGCUCACCUGUAGUCUAAAACACCUUGUUAGUGUUACACUAAGUACCAUGAUAGUCUACUAGUUACUGCCUGUUUUAUUCUGAACUAAAUGCACUCAGAUGUCAAGGCCUUAUGACGCUUUGGCUUAUCAGUCUUUGGGGAUAUGGGUACAUGGUUUCCUUCCGAUGGCACAUAUACAUAGAUGUACUUUUGUCCAUAUACUUUUGUGAUUACAUCUGCUGUGAGUUCUUGCUAAUUUGGAGUAACUGAAACUAUAGUGAGGAUUUGGGAAGUUCAAAUCAGUGCAGUAGACUUUAAAGGCUCCAAAAUCAGUACCCGUCAAAACGCUUUUAUGUUUUGGUUUUCUUUUAUUUCAAGAUUAUAUGUCUUAAACAACAAAAAGUUGAAGUAAACUCUUCAAAAUAGCCGCCUUUUGCUUUGAUUACUGCACACUUUUGACAUUUUCUCAAUGGGCUUUCAUGAUGUAGUCACCGGAAAUGUUUUUGAUGUCACGACUGCACUUUAAAAGAUAAAAAGUCGAGUCAACUUAAAAAAAAAGUAAAGCAACUGGCUGCAAAGCUUUUUGAGUUUACUCAACUUUUAAGGUUUUUGUUGAGCCACAUCUUAUGUGGAAGUUGGUAAAAAAAAAAAAAAUACCUGGUUUGUUUUAUGCCUACUUUUUUCUAUUACAAGCAAAUGCAAACUUUAAAUAAAUCCAACUUGGAAGAAAAACUUUACCAAACAUAGAAUUAAAGACUUAAAGCAAUACGUUUGGUCAACUACAAAUAAUUUCUUAAAGACAAAAGAGCUGAAUCAAGUGCAAAGUUAACUUUCAAAUAUGUGUUGGCACAACUUCCUUCUUGAUAAAGUUAAAUGGAGACUGUAAAGCUUUGCAGCCAGUUGCUUCAUCAUUUUAAGUUGAGUCAAUUGAUAAAAGUUUAUGCUUAUAAUUUCGCUUAUGCAAUUUAGGGAAUUACUUCAAGAUACAUGUCAUUCUUGAAAACAGACUGCACAAUUGAAACAAUUAAAAAUAGACAAUUGAAGGUAUAUUAUUAUGGGUUACAAAGAAGCUCUUAAUAUAAAAAAAAAGUACUUUGAUUCUAAUUUUGGAUUUAGUUAUUAAUUGCAUGAACAUUCUUUUGAUGGUCCUGUUGAAAACCAUUUCAGAUUAUGAAAAAAAUGCCAAGAAUAAAGGGCAAUUUGGAAGAAUUUAAACUAUAAAACGUAUUUCUUUAUUGUCUACAUACUGUACAUUCAAAGUUUCUCAGACAUCAAAAACGGCUCCUAUUUGCAAAAACACUUACUGACCCUUCACACCUGAAUACAUCAAAUGAAGACGAAGUCAUUGAGAUCCAUGUCAUAUAUUGCACGGUGAGGUGGGAUCCUCGGGCUAACAACAUCUUGCUUUUUUACUCUCUCUGGGAUACUCUAGACUAAGAUCUCAAAAAUAGUAGUAGUAGUAAAGGAAAUAUACAAUUGAUUUCAUUGAGUAGAAUACAUUAUUCUUCGGUUUUAAAUUCUAUCAUAAAUUCUUAUAUUACAAGCCAUUUGGCAUGAAGGGCGGCACGGUAGUACAGCGGUUAGCGCUCGUGCUUCACAGCUAGAAGGUCCGGGUUCGAUUCCCACCAAGGCCGGGGCCUUUCUGUGUGGAGCUUGCAUGUUCUCCCCGUGUCUGCGUAGGUUUCUUCCGGGUACUCCGGUUUCCCCUACCACUAAAAACAUGUACAAUAGGCGUUUUGCAAUCAUUGCAAUUUAUCUUUUAUUGUAUUAAAAACAAGGCCCAGUCGGACCAGGAGUAGCUGCAGCACACGCUCUCCUGUCUGCUGAAGAUCAGAAACCUCAAGGCCUACAGCGACCCGGAGCACGUCAAGCUCUGGUGAAGGUCAUUUAUGACAUAAGGGCAUUUAUGGACAUAUUGAUACAAAUUCUGUUGAAAUAAUAUCAAAAAGCUUUAAAAAAAUUUAAAGGGAUAUUUCAGGAUUUUUGACAUAGGGCCUCAUUUCCUAGUUAUCCAGAGUGUUGUUGAUGUCUGGAGAUAUUUUUUUUCUUAAAUUCAUGCAGUUCUUAUAUUUGAAGAGUCUAGUUGCGCUAGGCUAGGGCAAGGCUAAAGCAUUUCUAUGGUAAAGUCUAGCCUGCAUUAAAAACAGUCUGACCCACUCCACAGUACACCUGAUUACCUUAUAACGCCACACGACCCAUAUAAAUGUCUGUGUUAAUAGAAUAAUUUUUGAAAUAUAACUGACCUUGUAUCACAUGAAUUACCGCAUUUUGAGGGACUAUUUUCUCGCAGAUCACUCCGCCGCUGCGUUAGCUUACAGCCACGAAGCUGAUGCUGCUCAAAUAUAAGUUAUUUUAAAUGCAAAAUGGUUAAAAUUAUUCCAUCGACACAGAUUAGAACAUUAGAACAUUUAUAUCGUUAGUCUGGUGUUAUACAGUAAGUGAUUUACCUCAGGUGCACUGUGGAGUGGGUCAGACUGUUUUUAAUGCAGGCUAGACUUUACCAUAGAAAUGCUUUAGCCUAGCUCUAGCCUAGCGCAACUAGACUCUUCAAUUAUAAGAACUGCAUGAAUUUAAGAAAAAAAUAUCUCCAGACAUACACAACACUCUGGAUAACUAGGAAAUGAGGCCCUAUGUCAAAAAUCCUGAAAUAUCACUUUAAUGGGAAACUAUUAAUUUGCUGCCAAUAAAUAGACAUUACACACCAUAGAAAAUCAAUAUACAGUAAAUGGUAAUGCAUUUAAACAAUUAUAACAUAAAAACCACAAGCCAUAACUUGCAAAAACUAGAGUGAUCGAGCCG